GCCUCCGCGUCGCCGCAAAGCCGUCGAGGAGGGCCGUUGGGUUCGGGCGCGAGGCCGUCGGGACCUCAGAAUCCGCGUGGCCCGGCCACUGUGAGGGUGUGCGCGCCGCUGGUCUCAGAGGCCGUGGGGUGAGAUGCCAGACGGCGCUCGGCGAGACAGAGGUUUCCCGGAAUCGUAUUUGGGGGCUCGUAAGACUUUUCUCCCCUAAGAGGGCCUGAGGGGAGGCCGGUGGGACACAAGCUAGGCCUCGCCCUCCCUUUCUAAUCCCCGCCCACGUCCCCCUACCCCGCCAGUCUUCGAGGCCCCCUCUGCACCUUCUUCCCCACCCCGCCCUGUUUUCCUUCUCGUCCUCCCCCACCCCCCUUCCCAUCGUUUCUCUCUGCCUCUCCCUUCUCUUCUGCCCACUCUCCCCUCUGGGACCCUCUCCUCUCCCACCGUCUUCCCUCUUUCUUCCCCUUUGCUCGCGUGCUCUCUCACUCCCCUCUCCGGCAUCUACCCUUCCCUCCCCGCCACCACUCUCCACGUGGGUCUGUUUGACUGCUCAUCACCUCUUAAUCGUUUCUUAGUUUGUAUGGAAAUAAACAAUCUCCGGAUAUGAGGGUAAUUUCAUCUUUUUUAGCAUAAUCCAGUUUCUGGUAUACAAGGGGACGCAGCCUAAGUAUCAAACUCAUAAAAAAAAGAGCGUGAUCCCCACGCUCAGGGUUUUUAGGGGAGUAGGACAAGACCACCGGUUCUUUUGAUCUCUGACCCGGCCACUGCCUAGGCUCUGGAGCCCCAAAGGGCCAUGGUGAUUGUUGUGAGUGGCACGCGGGGUGGUGAGCACCUGGGGGCAGGGAUGGAGGCUCGUGGCCCUGGCGGAGCCCCGAAGCUGGCGCCCUAAGGUGAGGCCCUCCCAGCUCCUCACAGACUCUUCCAGACCAGUUCCUGGAAGUCGUCUCGAGCCAGCCACGGAGCAGCAGGGCACGCCUCCAGGUUACUCGGUUCUGUUUGGCCCGCGGACUCAGCCCUGGCUUUCCCUCGGCGUCAACUCAUUCUUUGGAGAAAGGCCAGAAAAAAAACAAUGGCUCUGUCCAGCCCGAGGUUCAUGGUGUCCGAGAGCCUGGAUUCCCUUGGCAAUCUUUCGUACUCUCCCAGGGGCAAAUUACCCAGAGCCCUGAGCCCACGCCCACGUGGUUUCUUUCUUUUUGCCGUUAGUGUGUUGACCUUAUCUGUUUUUAAAAAAUUAUGUGUAAUAUACAUUGUGUAUAACAAAUAUAUUCUUAACAGAAAUGUAUUAGCAGUGGGCACAAGUGAAAAGAGUCUUCCAGGAAAAACAGAUAGCCAAGACUAGAACUGGGGGGACUUAGGGCCACAAUACAACUCAUGCCUCUACUGGAGAAGGAAAGUUGGGAAACAGCUACAUCAAAAAGAAGAAAACAUUCAGAGAAGUCUUUAAAAAGUGGGGAAAGAAAGAAAGUGAAGAGAUCAAUUAAUGUAACUUUUAAAAAAAUGUACCCAAUUUCCCCAAUGAAAAUAAAACUAAACAGGGUCUUUGGGACCUCAGCUUCUGGUUCACGUUUACAAAGGAACACUGAUGCUCAAGUUUGUCAAGGGCAGGGUGUGCGUUGGCUUCAUAGGUCCCAAUCAUACUCUAAAUGGAACACCCCAGGUUGCUAAAUGGAAUACUCUGUAUCUUAAUUGCUUGUUCCAUCAGGUGUGUCUAAAAGCUGUUGUCUUACUCUUCUAGGGGUGAGUAGUGGAACCUGGUCCAAUGUAAAAUGGAGAAAUAAGGACCAGGUGCAGAAGAGUGAAAUGUGGUUUAAGGCAUCACCAAUAACAUGCCACCUUAACUCAAAGUCCUGCCUUUGGUUUCUUAGGUUUACACACAGCAUAGCCAAUGGCUAAAAACUCUCCUCCUAAAUUCACUCCUUCGUUAAUAAACAGUUUGUAUCUGUUAUGAGCUAAGCACUAGGGGUUGGGUGCUGGGGAUACUAUAUGGAACAAACGUUGGGGUCCAAUUUACAGGCUAGUGAAACAGAUGGGUAGACUGAAAAGUGCUGUUACAUAGGUAUCGUGGGAGCAUUAAGAAAAAAACAUCAGUUUGUGAGUUUGGGCCCCGCGUUGGGCUCUGUGCUGACAGCUCAGAGCCUGGAACUUGCUUCAGAUUCUGUGUCUCCCCAUCUCUCUACCCCUCCCCUGCUCACGCUCUGUGUCUCUCUCUCAAUAAUAAAUAAAUGUUAAAGAAAAAAAAUUUUUUUUUAAGAAAAAGAAAAAAACAGAGUCAAGAUCAAGGAAAAGCUCUCCAGAGGUGUGCCCCUUAAACUGAACUUUAAGGAGGAAGUUGAAAGGGGCAGUUGGGCAAGGGCGUGGGUUCGGGGCAAUGAGUAGGCAUUCAGAUGACAUGCCUGAAGGCCCAAGGCUAGAAAUAGCUUCCUUUAAAGAAGUUUAAGUAAUCCUUUAAAACAAAAACAAAUGGUAGGAAUGAAAAAUAAAGGAAUAGUGGGAAAAACAGCUAAAGACGCAGGCAGAGGCUCUAUCUUGAAGAACUUUAUGUCCUGAAUUUGAACUUUAUACCCUGAAAGCCAGGGGAAGCUCUUACAAGGUUUUAAAUGGGAAAUAAAUGAAAAAAUUUUCAUUUUAGAAAGAUCACUUUGAUGGGAAUGUUAAGGACACAAAGGAGGGUUGGGUAGAUUAUAGGGAAACCAGUUAGAAAACUAUUGCAGUAAUACCUGAUAGAAGUGAUGGGAGUCUGAACUUAGAUAGUAAUAGUGGCUGUAAAAUGAAAUUGAGGGAGGAUAAGGGGAGAGGGAGGGAAUGAUAUAAGAGAUAAUAAAAGGGACUUGAGAGAACCUGAUGACUAAUUGCGUGUGAGAGAUGAGUGAAAUGAAUAGAGAAAGAUUCCCAGGCUUCUAGCUUAGGUAUCUAGAGAUUUGAUAGUGCCACCUACUGAGAGAAAAACCAGGACUGGAACAGAAAGAUGAUGUGAUCAGUUUGGGUGCAUGUUGAUUUUGUUUUCUCUGUGAGACACCCAGGUAGAGAUGUCAGAUGAUGGGUAUCUGGGUCUGGAGUUAUGUACUGAUCUGGGCUAAGGGUAAAGAUUUAGAAGUCACCAGCGGAAGACUAGUAGCUGAAGCCUUGGGUUUGGUGAAGUCACUCAAGAAAAGUGCUUAGUUAAAAAACCAAUUUAGGAAACACCAUUUAGCAGGCCAUCAGAGGAAGAGAAAACCUUGAAGGAUACUAAGAAGGAAUGACCAGAAAGGCAGAAGGAAAACAUAACAAUAAGCAUCAUUUUGGGGGUACCUAUUAUCUUCUAGUCAAUGGCCCGGGAUCUUUAUAUACAUUAUUUCAUUGAAUCCUUAUAGCAACCCAAAAGGUAGAUGUUUUCAAAUAGAGAAACUCAAGUGCUGAGAAGUUAAGUAAUUUGACUAGGAUAUGUUUAGCCUCUGAGGUCGGAUGAAACCUAGAUUGAAAUUCCACCUGUCAAUAGCUAAGGGAUGUGUGCAAAUACAUAAUCUCUCUGACUCUCGAUUUCCUCAUCCACAAAACAGAACCAAAAUAGAACCUACCUCUGAGUAUUAUUCUGAAGAUUAGAUGAAAUAACAUAUGUAAAAUGCCUGGCACAGAGUGAGUACUCGAUACCUGAUACUUCCCUUAUAAAUAGCUAUAACCACAUAUCACUAUGUUAACUUGAGUGGCUACUGUGUCCUCUUUAGUUCUUUGGCACAAACAUGGACUCCAAAUUCUCACCUAAGGUCCAUAGUGCACAACUGAGUUCUGAGCUGGACUACAAUAUUAUGAUAAGCCUUUACUAAAGAUGUGGGCAUAGCCAUAUGGGAAUGAACACAGAGAGCAACAGAAAGCUAGAUAAAGUGAAAGUAUAUCAUUUGAUUUUAGGAUCUCCUACAGAGUUAGCACCUUCCUGCCUAACUCCUUGGAGAAGUCAUCUUUCCCAAACCACCAGGAAGCAUUGUCAAAUAGUUAAUAUACAGCAAAGUCCAGUAAGAGUGUGAUUCCACAGGGCAUCAAGAGUUCUCACUGCCAAGACCCACCUUCCAAGUGACCCUGUUACCUGUUUAAGGAAAUGCCCCUUCCAGAUGAUUAAUAUGGGGGACGUCCAUCACUAGGAGUAUGGCCUUACACUAUGGCCUCAACAGUAGAGCCUUACUAGAACACGACAAAAUAAGCCCAACAUUCAUAUAAAAGUUACAUUUUUUUCCAUAAUUCUUAGAAAAGAUGAGACUUCUUAUAUGAACUCUUCUUAAUCAUUUGUGAUCCUUAGGCCAUCUUCUACUCAAAAGCCACUCUGAAAAGUGAAUUUGGAUAAAGCCUGAAGCUUACUAUAAUCCAAAUACAACAAAAAGACGUAUAGCAAAGGGGACCUACCAAACUGAAAGGAAGAGAAAGGUUUUGUCAGUAUAAUUGAGAAAGAGCCACAAAUUUAUGUUUUCACAUUUAAAAGAUGUAAGUAGGUAUAGAAAUGAAUAAAUUAUUGGUUAGUGUUCA